rnacentral:rRNA from 1 species
GAUGCCUUGGCACUAAGAGCCGAAGAAAGACGUGAUAAGCUGCGAAAAGCUGCGGGGAGGAGCAAAUAUCCAUUGAGCCGCAGAUAUCUGAAUGGGGAAACCCGGCUGGACGAACUCCAGUCAUCCAUACGCCAAUCCAUAACGUAUGGAAGGGAACCCGGUGAACUGAAACAUCUAAGUAGGGCGAGGAAGAGACAUCAAACGAGAUUCCGUAAGUAGUGGCGAGCGAACGCGGAAGAGGGCAAACCGAGAGUAGAAAUACUUUCGGGGUACGGACUGCUUUUAAGACUUAAUCUGUUAACCGAACGGCAUGGGAAGGCCGGUCAGAGAGUGUGAGAACCACGUAGGUGAAAACGGAGAGAGCUGCGCAGGAUCCAGAGUACGGCCAGACACGUGAAACCUGGUCGGAAUACGGGGGGACCACCCUCCAACCCUAAAUACUACCCAGUGACCGAUAGCGUAUAGUACUGUGAAGGAAAGGUGAAAAGCACCCCGGGAGGGGAGUGAAAGAGAACCUGAAACCCUGUGUUUACAAGCUGUGGAAGUUCUUUAAAUGAACAACCGCGUACUUUUUGUAGAACGGUCCGGCGAGUUGCGGAUACUGGCAAGGUUAAGCACUUAAGGUGCGGAGCCGAAGGGAUACCAAGUCUUAACAGGGCGUUAAGUCAGUAUACGCAGACCCGAAACCGGGUGAUCUAUCCAUGUCCAGGUUGAAGUUGUCGUAAAAGACAAUGGAGGACCGAAGCCACAUCCGUUGAAAAGGGUGGGCAUGAGGUGUGGAUAGGGGAGAAAUUCCAAUCGAACCCGGAGAUAGCUGGUUCUCCUCGAAAUAGCUUUAGGGCUAGCCUCGAUUUAGUCUUAUGGAGGUAGAGCACUGAAUUUCCG